rnacentral:rRNA from 1 species
AUUGAACGCUGGCGGCAGGCUUAACACAUGCAAGUCGAGCGGAGUGAUGGUGCUUGCACUAUCACUUAGCGGCGGACGGGUGAGUAAUGCUUAGGAAUCUGCCUAUUAGUGGGGGACAACAUCUCGAAAGGGAUGCUAAUACCGCAUACGUCCUACGGGAGAAAGCAGGGGAUCACUUGUGACCUUGCGCUAAUAGAUGAGCCUAAGUCGGAUUAGCUAGUUGGUGGGGUAAAGGCCUACCAAGGCGACGAUCUGUAGCGGUUCUGAGAGGAUGAUACGCCACACUGGGACUGAGGCACGGCCCAGACUCCUACGGGAGGCAGCAGUGGGGAAGAUUGGACAAUGGGGGGAACCCUGAACCAGCCAUGCCGGGGGUGUGAAGAAGGCCUUAUGGUUGUAAAGCACUUUAAGCGAGGAGGAGGCUUACCUAGUUAAUACCUGGGAUAAGUGGACGUUACUCGCAGAAUAAGCACCGGCUAACUCUGUGCCAGCCGCCGCCGUAA